rnacentral:rRNA from 1 species
GCGAAAUACGAUACGGGACUCAUCCGAGGCCCCGUAAUCGAAAUGAGUACACUCUAAACCUUUUAACGAGGAUCAAUUGGAGGGCAAGUCUGGUGCCAGCAGCCGCGGUAAUUCCAGCUCCAAUAGCGUAUAUUAAAGUUGUUGCGGUUAAAAAGCUCGUAGUCGAAUUUGUGUCCCGCACCGCCGGUUCAUCGCUCGCGGUGUUAACUGGCGUGUCCGCGGGACGUCCUGCCGGUGGGCUUAGCCCUGCGGGGCGGCCCAAUCUCAAUCUCACCGCGGUGCUCUUCAUUGAGUGUCGAGGUGGGCCGGCACGUUUACUUUGAACAAAUUAGAGUGCUUAAAGCAGGCUAAAACUUCGCCUGAAUACUGUGUGCAUGGAAUAAUGGAAUAGGACCUCGGUUCUAUUUUGUUGGUUUUCUGAAUACCGAGGUAAUGAUUAAUAGGAACGGCCGGGGGCAUUCGUAUUGCGACGUUAGAGGUGAAAUUCUUGGAUCGUCGCAAGACGGACAUAAGCGAAAGCAUUUGCCAAGAACGCUUUCAUUGAUCAAGAACGAAAGUUAGAGGUUCGAAGGCGAUCAGAUACCGCCCUAGUUCUAACCAUAAACUAUGCCAGCUAGCGAUCCGCCGACGUUCCUCCGAUGACUCGGCGGGCAGCUUCCGGGAAACCAAAGCUUUUGGGUUCCGGGGGAAGUAUGGUUGCAAAGCUGAAACUUAAAGGAAUUGACGGAAGGGCACCACCAGGAGUGGAGCCUGCGGCUUAA